rnacentral:rRNA from 1 species
UUAAGCGACUAAGCGUACACGGUGGAUGCCCUGGCAGUCAGAGGCGAUGAAGGACGUGCUAAUCUGCGAUAAGCGUCGGUAAGGUGAUAUGAACCGUUAUAACCGGCGAUUUCCGAAUGGGGAAACCCAGUGUGUUUCGACACACUAUCAUUAACUGAAUCCAUAGGUUAAUGAGGCGAACCGGGGGAACUGAAACAUCUAAGUACCCCGAGGAAAAGAAAUCAACCGAGAUUCCCCCAGUAGCGGCGAGCGAACGGGGAGCAGCCCAGAGCCUGAAUCAGUGUGUGUGUUAGUGGAAGCGUCUGGAAAGGCGCGCGAUACAGGGUGACAGCCCCGUACACAAAAAUGCACAUGCUGUGAGCUCGAUGAGUAGGGCGGGACACGUGGUAUCCUGUCUGAAUAUGGGGGGACCAUCCUCCAAGGCUAAAUACUCCUGACUGACCGAUAGUGAACCAGUACCGUGAGGGAAAGGCGAAAAGAACCCCGGCGAGGGGAGUGAAAAAGAACCUGAAACCGUGUACGUACAAGCAGUGGGAGCCUCUUUAUGGGGUGACUGCGUACCUUUUGUAUAAUGGGUCAGCGACUUAUAUUCUGUAGCAAGGUUAACCGAAUAGGGGAGCCGAAGGGAAACCGAGUCUUAACUGGGCGUUAAGUUGCAGGGUAUAGACCCGAAACCCGGUGAUCUAGCCAUGGGCAGGUUGAAGGUUGGGUAACACUAACUGGAGGACCGAACCGACUAAUGUUGAAAAAUUAGCGGAUGACUUGUGGCUGGGGGUGAAAGGCCAAUCAAACCGGGAGAUAGCUGGUUCUCCCCGAAAGCUAUUUAGGUAGCGCCUCGUGAAUUCAUCUCCGGGGGUAGAGCACUGUUUCGGCAAGGGGGUCAUCCCGACUUACCAACCCGAUGCAAACUGCGAAUACCGGAGAAUGUUAUCACGGGAGACACACGGCGGGUGCUAACGUCCGUCGUGAAGAGGGAAACAACCCAGACCGCCAGCUAAGGUCCCAAAGUCAUGGUUAAGUGGGAAACGAUGUGGGAAGGCCCAGACAGCCAGGAUGUUGGCUUAGAAGCAGCCAUCAUUUAAAGAAAGCGUAAUAGCUCACUGGUCGAGUCGGCCUGCGCGGAAGAUGUAACGGGGCUAAACCAUGCACCGAAGCUGCGGCAGCGACGCUUAUGCGUUGUUGGGUAGGGGAGCGUUCUGUAAGCCUGCGAAGGUGUACUGUGAGGUAUGCUGGAGGUAUCAGAAGUGCGAAUGCUGACAUAAGUAACGAUAAAGCGGGUGAAAAGCCCGCUCGCCGGAAGACCAAGGGUUCCUGUCCAACGUUAAUCGGGGCAGGGUGAGUCGACCCCUAAGGCGAGGCCGAAAGGCGUAGUCGAUGGGAAACAGGUUAAUAUUCCUGUACUUGGUGUUACUGCGAAGGGGGGACGGAGAAGGCUAUGUUGGCCGGGCGACGGUUGUCCCGGUUUAAGCGUGUAGGCUGGUUUUCCAGGCAAAUCCGGAAAAUCAAGGCUGAGGCGUGAUGACGAGGCACUACGGUGCUGAAGCAACAAAUGCCCUGCUUCCAGGAAAAGCCUCUAAGCAUCAGGUAACAUCAAAUCGUACCCCAAACCGACACAGGUGGUCAGGUAGAGAAUACCAAGGCGCUUGAGAGAACUCGGGUGAAGGAACUAGGCAAAAUGGUGCCGUAACUUCGGGAGAAGGCACGCUGAUACGUAGGUGAAGUCCCUUGCGGAUGGAGCUGAAAUCAGUCGAAGAUACCAGCUGGCUGCAACUGUUUAUUAAAAACACAGCACUGUGCAAACACGAAAGUGGACGUAUACGGUGUGACGCCUGCCCGGUGCCGGAAGGUUAAUUGAUGGGGUUAGCGGUAACGCGAAGCUCUUGAUCGAAGCCCCGGUAAACGGCGGCCGUAACUAUAACGGUCCUAAGGUAGCGAAAUUCCUUGUCGGGUAAGUUCCGACCUGCACGAAUGGCGUAAUGAUGGCCAGGCUGUCUCCACCCGAGACUCAGUGAAAUUGAACUCGCUGUGAAGAUGCAGUGUACCCGCGGCAAGACGGAAAGACCCCGUGAACCUUUACUAUAGCUUGACACUGAACAUUGAGCCUUGAUGUGUAGGAUAGGUGGGAGGCUUUGAAGUGUGGACGCCAGUCUGCAUGGAGCCGACCUUGAAAUACCACCCUUUAAUGUUUGAUGUUCUAACGUUGGCCCCUAAUCGGGGUUGCGGACAGUGUCUGGUGGGUAGUUUGACUGGGGCGGUCUCCUCCUAAAGAGUAACGGAGGAGCACGAAGGUUGGCUAAUCCUGGUCGGACAUCAGGAGGUUAGUGCAAUGGCAUAAGCCAGCUUGACUGCGAGCGUGACGGCGCGAGCAGGUGCGAAAGCAGGUCAUAGUGAUCCGGUGGUUCUGAAUGGAAGGGCCAUCGCUCAACGGAUAAAAGGUACUCCGGGGAUAACAGGCUGAUACCGCCCAAGAGUUCAUAUCGACGGCGGUGUUUGGCACCUCGAUGUCGGCUCAUCACAUCCUGGGGCUGAAGUAGGUCCCAAGGGUAUGGCUGUUCGCCAUUUAAAGUGGUACGCGAGCUGGGUUUAGAACGUCGUGAGACAGUUCGGUCCCUAUCUGCCGUGGGCGCUGGAGAACUGAGGGGGGCUGCUCCUAGUACGAGAGGACCGGAGUGGACGCAUCACUGGUGUUCGGGUUGUCAUGCCAAUGGCACUGCCCGGUAGCUAAAUGCGGAAGAGAUAAGUGCUGAAAGCAUCUAAGCACGAAACUUGCCCCGAGAUGAGUUCUCCCUGACUCCUUGAGAGUCCUGAAGGAACGUUGAAGACGACGACGUUGAUAGGCCGGGUGUGUAAGCGCAGCGAUGCGUUGAGCUAACCGGUACUAAUGAACCGUGAGGCUUAACCUU